UACGUAGGGUGCGAGCGUUAAUCGGAAUUACUGGGCGUAAAGCGUGCGCAGGCGGUGGCUCAAGCCAGGCGUGAAAUCCCCGGGCUUAACCUGGGAAUGGCGUUUGGGACUGGGUCGCUAGAGUGUGGCAGAGGGAGGUGGAAUUCCACGUGUAGCAGUGAAGUGCGUAGAGAUGUGGAGGAACACCGAUGGCGAAGGCAGCCUCCUGGGCCAGCACUGACGCUCAUGCACGAAAGCGUGGGGAGCAAACAGG
rnacentral:rRNA from 1 species